UGGUACUUUACAGUACCGAUAAUUGAUAUUUUGAUAUCAGUUUAGUCCCGACCGUUAAGAGGGAUCAAAGGCUUAUUAGCCCAUAAGUAAAUAAACAAAAGUCAAAUUAAAAUAAAUUUAAUUAUGUGUUAAAUAUGAUGGUGUCUAACAGCUUGUUGGUGGCAAAACAAGGAAGACAAUGAAAAUGCGGAAGAUUAUUGGAUAACAAGCUGAGAGCGCGAAAAGGAAAAGUUAACCUCCAAAUAAGUUAACGAUGUUAAGGAUGUGCAAGUCUAACCAAAAUGGUUCAAGUGUUAUAACAGAGUGUAUAUUUUAUUGUAUUAGAAUCUGUUUAUAAUUAUAUUUUUCACUCUUUUUUUAAUAAUAUGUUAACCUGUUAGUUUGUUAAUAUAAUAUCAAUUAAUGUAAACCCAGGAUCAUCUUGCUAGUGCAAUUCGUUGGUUUGUGUGAAAAAUGUUACUCAAAGUCUGAUUUACUGUUUACAGCUGACAGAAUUUGUUAAUCAUCAUUUGUUUUCUUCUUGUACUUUUUUUCAUUUAUGUUUUUUCUUUUCAGCCUUUUUUUCAUCAAAUCUUCCUGUAUAAGGUACUCAUGACAUUGUUUAGCUGAAAUAGGAACAAUUGGAGGCUAGGAAAAUGCUCUUUAACGUAACUCUGGUGACAUAAAAUCAAGCAAAGUAAUUGGGUGAAUCUGUUAUUGUCUGGGAAUGAUGACGAUGGUUCACAAUCAACUACAAAAUUGAGAUGACAUGACAAUACAAGUAUCAUUUGGACUGAAAGAAAAAACCAGAGGACCAGAUUUGGGAAGCAAAAUGAAAAAUGAUAUUGAGAAAACUUAAGCCAAGAAGGUAAUCAGCUAUUUACAUUUGCAGAGAAGAUUUAUGGACCCAUAAUUGUUACAUUGUAGACAAAUUUAUGUAUAUUUACUUCCUUCCUCUUCCCAUUGCCAUUAUCAUCAUAAUAUACAUUUUCAUGGUGAAUCUUUAAACAAUUGGAGUAACCAAAAAGCCAAAUUGAAGUGUCAAGAAUGGAUCCGUUAUUUAGAGGCCUUACAAUGUUGAAAUGAAACCUUCAAAUUUUAUUGAUUCAGAAGAUUAUACAGAUGCCUUAAUUCCAUCCUACCUUUGCAGAUGUUUAUAAUUAAACCUUUCACCUCAGCUAUGUCAUCAUUAUCCUCAUACGCAUUAAUCUUGAAAGAAAAGGUAAAUCUAAAUAUCUUAACUGUUCUCGGAUAUUUCCAAGUGUCGACUUGAUUGUUUAAAAAGUGUCUGGAUGGAAACGUAUUUUCAAUCAAUCUGCUGAACAACUGGAUCAGAAGCUUUACCCUCAAAAUCAACAAUCAAAGUGAUUAAAUUACCAAACAAUACUCACCGAAUGGAUCAAAUUGUGAAGGAAUCAUCAUUUGAUUACGUUAUUAUGGGAACAACUCAAUAGUUACCUUGAAGAUUUUGUGAUUCAUGAAAAUAAUCAAGUCAGCCUGAUUCAAUAAUGGAUUCAAUUCAACUAAAUGCUAAACACUUUUAUUAAACUUGCAGUCAACAUUUAGCUCUUGUAUCAAUGUUUAGUUGUGAUACUUAACGGUCGCCAAUCAAGCCUUUUUGAUGCUCAAAUUGUAAUCAUUGUAAAUCAAGCAAAAGUGAUAAUCAAAUGCAUAAAAAAGGCGAAAGUUUGUUAACCUUUUUUCACUAAAGUCUUCACUAUUUUUGUGUUUGCUUGAAAAAAAUUCAACUCACGGUUGGACGAGUAUUUCAUACAAAUCAAAUGUUACGAUUAAAAGUGUCUUGUAAUCAAA